rnacentral:rRNA from 1 species
CGAAUCUCGAAAGCCUGUCUCAGUUCGGAUUGGAGGCUGAAACCCGCCUCCAUGAAGUUGGAUUCGCUAGUAAUCGCGCAUCAGCCAUGGCGCGGUGAAUACGUUCCCGGGCCUUGUACACACCGCCCGUCAAGCCAUGGGAGCCGGGGGUGCCUGAAGUUCGUGACCGCAAGGAGCGACCUAGGGCAAAACUGGUGACUGGGGCUAAGUCGUAACAAGGUAGC